UACGGGGGGGGCAAGCGUUGUUCGGAAUUACUGGGCGUAAAGGGCUCGUAGGCGGCCAACUAAGUCAUACGUGAAAUCCCUCGGCUUAACCGGGGAACUGCGUCUGAUACUGGAUGGCUUGAGAUUGGGAGAGGGAUGCGGAAUUCCAGGUGUAGCGGUGAAAUGCGUAGAUAUCUGGAGGAACACCGGUGGCGAAGGCGGCAUCCUGGACCAACACUGACGCUGAGGAGCGAAAGCCAGGGGAGCAAACAGG
rnacentral:rRNA from 1 species